CUGUUUGUUCUCCAUGUGUUUGGUGUUGAUACAGAAGAAGUGAAGACAAUAUCAGUGAUGAAGGGAGAUUCGGUCACUCUACACACUGAUGUUACUGAAGUACAGAAAUAUUUGUUCAUACAGUGGAUGUUUGGAAACACUCGAAUAGCUGAAGUCACACAAACCAGCUCAACAUGUGAUGGUCCUGAUGGGAGAUUCAGAGGCAGACAGCUGGAUCAGACUGGAUCUCUGACCAUCACAAACACCAGAACCACAGACUCUGGACUUUAUCAACUAAACAUUUUGAGCCAAGAGACCAGCUAGCUACAUGAGUUUCAAUCUUACAGUCUAUGAUGUGGCACAUGAAAUGAAGUCAGUGUCAGUGAUGAAGGGAGAUUCUGUCACUCUACACACUGAUGUUACUGAAACAGAAAUAUUUGUUGGUACAGUGGAUGUUUGAAAGCACUCGAAUAGCUGAAGUCAACAGACUCAUGCAGACUAGCUCUAAAUAUGAUGGGAGAUUCAAAGACAGACUGCAGCUGGAUCAAACCGGAUCUCUAAUCAUCACAAGCACCAGAACCACAGACUCUGGACUUUAUCAACUAACAAUUGUCAGCAGAGAGACCAGCUUCAUGAAUUAUAAUGUUACUGUCUAUGAAAGAUCGUCAAGCUCAAAUUGUGUGUCGUCCAGCUGUGCAGCUGUGCAGUGAGCCGUUCAGACUGAAGAUACCAGCAUUGCUGAACUCUAUCAGCCGAGUUUAGAUAUACAGCAUGACCUGUUUGUGCUUGAGGACUGGGUAAAUUUGCAUGCAUUUUCUUCGAUGAUUUAACAGGAACAGAGAACGGACAGCAGAUAUGUGACAGAGAAGUGAAGUGUGUUUUCUGGUGUUUGGAUUGCAUUCACUGUUGUGGUUUUACUGAAGCUGUGAUCCGAUUGGCUCUCUCUGCUCUGGUGGCCGUGGCUGCUGUUGCUGUGCUGCUUUAUGACAUCAGGGCCAGUAUUCACAAAACAUUUUAUCUUAGCACUAAGAAUUCUCCUAAAUAGCAGUAAAAGUUUUUAGCUAAGAGUUUUCUUUUAAAGGGAUCAUGUGAUUCGAUUUAAAGUUUUCUAUCUUUGGAGAUAGAACAGAUCCCUAAAGUCUCAAACCCAAAGGGUUUUUAU